GCUAAACCUUUCAAUCUCAUCUCACCAGUCACCCCGUUCUACCUCUGUAAACCUCUCAAUCUGACGCAUCUUUAGUUAACAACAAGCGAUUAACCUUGUCGAUUGGCUUCUCUUCUCUCUCAGCAUAGCUUUCUGUAGUCAUAUCGUUGUUGCAAGAAGAUCCAGAGUCUGCAUUUAGUACCGGUGGACGUGCGAUUGAUCAAUUUAGGAGUUCUUUAACUCCUAAAAUGGUACAAGCUCUUGUGUGUAAUCAAGAUUAUAUUAAAAAUUCAUCAACCUAAAAGGAGAUCAAGAAGUUUGAAGAACAAAUUCAAGAGCUUGACAAGAUUGAUAAUAAUUUAUCUUGGAAUGCAUUACAGCCUACCCUCAAUUCAUAAGCUCAUAAGCUUCUGCACUGGCAGCACUGUGAGUAUGAGUUGAAAGAGAUAAUGCAAAUGGAAAAAUUUUCGGAGGAUUCAAUUGGUGCAAAUGGAGUAUUUUGAAUACUAUUUUUUGUGGUAAUUUCUUCCCUUACAUUUCUUUUAAUUUCAUUAACCGGAGUAGUUACUAGUUAGCACAGCUCUGAUGA